AUUGAACGCUGGCGGCAGGCCUAACACAUGCAAGUCGAACGGUAACAGGAAGCAGCUUGCUGCUUUGCUGACGAGUGGCGGACGGGUGAGUAAUGUCAGGGAAACUGCCCGAUGGAGGGGGAUAACUACUGGAAACGGUAGCUAAUACCGCAUAACGUCGCAAGACCAAAGAGGGGGACCUUAGGGCCUCUUGCCAUCGGAUGUGCCCAGAUGGGAUUAGCUAGUAGGUGGGGUAACGGCUCACCUAGGCGACGAUCCCUAGCUGGUCUGAGAGGAUGACCAGCCACACUGGAACUGAGACACGGUCCAGACUCCUACGGGAGGCAGCAGUGGGGAAUAUUGCACAAUGGGCGCAAGCCUGAUGCAGCCAUGCCGCGUGUAUGAAGAAGGCCUUCGGGUUGUAAAGUACUUUCAGCGGGGAGGAAGGGAGUAAAGUUAAUACCUUUGCUCAUUGACGUUACCCGCAGAAGAAGCACCGGCUAACUCCGUG
rnacentral:rRNA from 1 species